UACGUAGGGGGCAAGCGUUGUUCGGAAUUAUUGGGCGUAAAGCGCGUGUAGGCGGCUUAGCAAGUCGGGCGUGAAAGCCCUCGGCUCAACCGAGGAAGUGCACCCGAAACUGCUGAGCUUGAGUGCCGGAGAGGAUGGCGGAAUUCCCCAAGUAGAGGUGAAAUUCGUAGAUAUGGGGAGGAACACCGGUGGCGAAGGCGGCCAUCUGGACGGUAACUGACGCUGAGACGCGAAAGCGUGGGUAGCAAACAGG
rnacentral:rRNA from 1 species